GGGCCAUAGGAUCAGUGGUAGAGCAUCUGCUCUGCAUGCAGAAGGCCCAAGGUUCAAUCCCCCGCAUCUCCA